UACAUGGGGUGCAAACGUUGCUCGGAAUUAUUGGGCGUAAAGCGCACGUAGGCGGUUUGUUAAGUCGGAUGUGAAAUCCCUCGGCUCAACUGAGGAAGUGCAUCCGAAACUGGCAGGCUUGAGUACUAAAGAGGGUCGCGGAAUUCCGGUGUAGAGGUGAAAUUCGUAGAUAUCGGGAGGAACACCGGUGGCGAAGGCGGCGACCUGGGUAGAUACUGACGCUGAGGUGCGAAAGCGUGGGGAGCAACAGG
rnacentral:rRNA from 1 species